GAAGCAACGCGAAGAACCUUACCAGGUCUUGACAUCCCCCUGACCGCAUCAGAGAUGGUGCUUUCCUUCGGGACAGGGGAGACAGGUGGUGUAUGGUUGUCGUCAGCUCGUGUCGAGAGAUGUUGGGUUAAGUCCCGCAACGAGCGCAACCCUUGAUGUUAGUUGCCAGCAGGUGAGGCUGGGCACUCUAAGAUGACUGCCGGUGACAAACCGGAGGAAGGUGGGGAUGACGUCAAAUCAUCAUGCCCCUUAUGACCUGGGCUACACACGUACUACAAUGGCCGGUACAACGGGAAGCGAAGGAGCGAUCUGGAGCCAAUCCCAGCAAAGCCGGUCUCAGUUCGGAUUGCAGGCUGCAACUCGCCUGCAUGAAGUCGGAAUUGCUAGUAAUCGCGGAUCAGCAUGCCGCGGUGAAUACGUUCCCGGGUCUUGUACACACCGCCCGUCACACCACGAGAGUUUACAACACCCGAAGCCGGUGGGGUAACCUGAAGCGUUUCGCAAGAAACGCACAUCGGAAGCGAUGCUCAGGGGCCAGCCGUCGAAGGUGGGGUAGAUGAUUGGGGUGAAGUCGUA
rnacentral:rRNA from 1 species